rnacentral:rRNA from 1 species
GUGGGGAAUAUUGGACAAUGGGCGCAAGCCUGAUCCAGCCAUGCCGCGUGAGUGAUGAAGGCCUUCGGGUUGUAAAGCUCUUUAGCCGAUGAUUAUAAUGACUGUAGUCGGAAAAUAAGCCCCGGCUAACUUCGUGCCAGCAGCCGCGGUAAUACGAAGGGGGCGAGCGUUAUUCGGAAUCACUGGGCGUAAAGCGUGCGUAGGCGGCUUUGCAAGUUGGGAGUGAAAGCCCAGGGCUCAACCCUGGAAUUGCUCUCAAAACUGCAAGGCUCGAAUUCGGGAGAGGAUAGCGGAAUUGUCAGUGUAGCAGUGAAAUGCGUAGAUAUUGACAGGAACACCAGUGGCGUAAGCGGCUAUCUGGACCGAUAUUGACGCUGAGGCACGAAAGCGUGGGGAUCAAACAGGAUUAGAAACCCCAGUAGUCC